rnacentral:pre_miRNA from 1 species
CCUUGCUUGUCUUGGACUUCAAGAAACAACUUUGUUUGACUUGCACUUCAAGGUUGUUUCUCGAAGUGCAAGACAAGCAAGGUUGUUUCUUGAAGUGCAAGGCAAGCAAGG